GAUGAACGCUGGCGGCGCGCCUAACACAUGCAAGUCGAACGAUUAAAGCACCUUCGGGUGUGUAUAAAGUGGCGAACGGCUGAGUAACACGUGGGCAACCUGCCCCUUUCAUUGGGGUAGCCACGGGAAACCGUGGAUAAUACCGAAUACUUCGAGACUUCCGCAUGGAAGACUCGAGAAAGCUCCGGCGGAGAGGGAUGGGCCCGCGGCCUGUUAGCUUGUUGGUGGGGUAACGGCCUACCAAGGCAAUGAUGGGUAGCUGGGUUGAGAGACCGACCAGCCAGAUUGGGACUGAGACACGGCCCAGACUCCUACGGGAGGCAGCAGUGGGGAAUCUUGCACAAUGGGCGAAAGCCUGAUGCAGCGACGCCGCGUGCGGGAUGAAGGCCUUCGGGUUGUAAACCGCUUUCAGCAGGGACGAGGCGAAAGUGACGGUACCUGCAGAAGAAGCCCCGGCUAACUACGUG
rnacentral:rRNA from 1 species